rnacentral:rRNA from 1 species
CCUACGAGAGGCAGCAGUGAGGAAUAUUGGUCAAUGGGCGUAAGCCUGAACCAGCCAAGUCGCGUGAGGGAUGAAGGUUCUAUGGAUCGUAAACCUCUUUUAUAAGGGAAUAAAGUUAGGGACGUGUCCCUUUUUGUAUGUACCUUAUGAAUAAGGAUCGGCUAACUCCGUGCCAGCAGCCGCGGUAAUACGGAGGAUCCGAGCGUUAUCCGGAUUUAUUGGGUUUAAAGGGUGCGUAGGCUGCCUUUUAAGUCAGCGGUGAAAGUCUGUGGCUCAACCAUAGAAUUGUCGUUGAAACUGGGAGGCUUGAGUGUGUUUGAGGUAGGCGGAAUGCGUGGUGUAGCGGUGAAAUGCUGAGAUAUCACGCAGAACUCCGAUUGCGAAGGCAGCCUGCCAAGCCAUGACUGACGCUGAUGCACGAAAGCGUGGGGAUCAAACAGGAUUAGAUACCCCUGUAGUC